rnacentral:rRNA from 1 species
AACACAUGCAAGUCGAGCGAGAAAGCGGGGCAACCCGUGAGUACAGCGGCGUACGGGUGAGUAACACGUGGGUGAUCUACCUCCGAGUGGGGAAUAACCCUGGGAAACCGGGGCUAAUACCGCAUAAGCCUGGGAAGGGAAAGCAGCAAUGCGCUGGGAGAGGAGCCCGCGGCCGAUUAGCUAGUUGGUGGGGUAAGAGCCCACCAAGGCGACGAUCGGUAGCCGGCCUGAGAGGGCACACGGCCACACUGGCACUGAGACACGGGCCAGACUCCUACGGGAGGCAGCAGUGGGGAAUCUUGCACAAUGGGGGAAACCCUGAUGCAGCGACGCCGCGUGAGCGAUGAAGCCCUUCGGGGUGUAAAGCUCUUUCGGCAGGGAAGAUGGUGACGGUACCUGCAGAAGCAGCUGCGGCUAACUACGUGCCAGCAGCCGCGGUAAUACGUAGGCAGCAAGCGUUGUUCGGAGUUACUGGGCGUAAAGGGUGCGUAGGCGGCCGAUUAAGUUUGUCGUGAAAUCUCCCGGCUCAACUGGGAGGGUGCGGCGGAAACUGAUGGGCUCGAGUGCGGGAGAGGAGAGUGGAAUUCCUGGUGUAGCGGUGAAAUGCGUAGAUAUCAGGAGGAACACCGGCGGUGUAGACGGCUCUCUGGACCGUAACUGACGCUGAGGCACGAAAGCGUGGGUAGCAAACAGGAUUAGAUACCCUGGUAGUCCACGCCCUAAACGAUGCGCAUUUGGUGUGGGCAGUUCAUUCU